UACGGGGGGGGCAAGCGUUGUUCGGAAUUACUGGGCGUAAAGGGCUCGUAGGCGGCCAACUAAGUCAGACGUGAAAUCCCUCGGCUUAACCGGGGAACUGCGUCUGAUACUGGAUGGCUUGAGUUCGGGAGAGGGAUGCGGAAUUCCAGGUGUAGCGGUGAAAUGCGUAGAUAUCUGGAGGAACACCGGUGGCGAAGGCGGUUCUCUGGGCCUGACCUGACGCUGAGGAGCGAAAGCGUGGGGAGCGAACAGG
rnacentral:rRNA from 1 species